GUCACGAGCGGUCUGAUGUAUUCUCACCAGUUCAAAUAAUAUCCCAGAAAAGCGUAUUUAUUACGGCAGUUGGCAACAGCAGUGUUGAAGAGUGAGUCACUUUACGACGAUUUUCCUUUACGAAGCGUGUCACCAAGAAAAUGAAGUGGUCCGUCAUCUCGUCACCAGCGCUACUGAUCCUGUAUUUGGUGACAUUCUCUUCUGCUGAGGAGUUAAAAAGGAAGACACCAGUCCACCUGAAGAUUCAAUUUACCUCGAUUUUAGACACUCCACCAUUUGAUUGUGCAUCACAUAGAUUAUGCCCUGAUAAUUUGGAAUGCAGUAUAUUUGACACGUGUUGUCAAAGGUGGCCUCCUUGGAGGUAUUCAUGUUGUCCUCUACCAAAUGCUGUUUGUUGCUAUGACCUAAAACAUUGCUGUCCGGAAGGAUACAUUUGUUCUCCUAUUGUAAAAGGGUGUAUACCUGAGCACAAAUCUCAGUUAUAAAAUAUAAGCUGGAAAUAAAAAAGGAAUGCUCAAAAAAAAAA